CUUUUGUCUAGGCCUCUGUGCCUUGUAGUAUGCAUUUGCAUUUCUUUCCCCACUUUAUUCUCUUAUUUCUAGGCCUCUGUGCCUUGUAAUAUACCAGGGUUCUCAAACUCUGGCUCCCUAGAUGUUGCUUAACUACAACUCCCAUGAUUCUUUGAAUUACAUAGAUAGCCAGAGAAUCCUGGGAGUUGUAGUUCAGCAACAUCUGGGGGCAGUGCCAGAUUAAGAGCCCAG